rnacentral:rRNA from 1 species
AUACGGAGGGGGCUAGCGUUGUUCGGAAUUACUGGGCGUAAAGGGCGCGUAGGCGGAUUGUCAAGUCAGAGGUGAAAGCCCUGGGCUCAACCUGGGAACUGCCUUUGAAACUAACGGUCUAGAGUCCGAGAGAGGAUGGCGGAAUUCCCAGUGUAGAGGUGAAAUUCGUAGAUAUUGGGAAGAACACCAGUGGCGAAGGCGGCCAUCUGGCUCGGUACUGACGCUGAGGCGCGAAAGCGUGGGGAGCAAACAGGAUUAGAAACCCGAGUAGUCC